rnacentral:rRNA from 1 species
ACGAACGCUGGCGGCGUGCCUAAUACAUGCAAGUAGAACGCUGAAGAGAGGAGCUUGCUCUUCUUGGAUGAGUUGCGAACGGGUGAGUAACGCGUAGGUAACCUGCCUUGUAGCGGGGGAUAACUAUUGGAAACGAUAGCUAAUACCGCAUAACAGUGGAUGACACAUGUCAUUUAUUUGAAAGGGGCAAUUGCUCCACUACAAGAUGGACCUGCGUUGUACUAGCUAGUAGGUGAGGUAAUGGCUCACCUAGGCGACGAUACAUAGCCGACCUGAGAGGGUGAUCGGCCACACUGGGACUGAGACACGGCCCAGACUCCUACGGGAGGCAGCAGUAGGGAAUCUUCGGCAAUGGGGGCAACCCUGACCGAGCAACGCCGCGUGAGUGAAGAAGGUUUUCGGAUCGUAAAGCUCUGUUGUAAGUCAAGAACGGGUGUGAGAGUGGAAAGUUCACACUGUGACGGUAGCUUACCAGAAAGGGACGGCUAACUACGUGCCAGCAGCCGCGGUAAUACGUAGGUCCCGAGCGUUGUCCGGAUUUAUUGGGCGUAAAGCGAGCGCAGGCGGUUUGAUAAGUCUGAAGUUAAAGGCUGUGGCUCAACCAUAGUUCGCUUUGGAAACUGUCAAACUUGAGUGCAGAAGGGGAGAGUGGAAUUCCAUGUGUAGCGGUGAAAUGCGUAGAUAUAUGGAGGAACACCGGUGGCGAAAGCGGCUCUCUGGUCUGUAACUGACGCUGAGGCUCGAAAGCGUGGGGAGCGAACAGGAUUAGAUACCCUGGUAGUCCACGCCGUAAACGAUGAGUGCUAGGUGUUGGAUCCUUUCCGGGAUUCAGUGCUGAAGCUAACGCAUUAAGCACUCCGCCUGGGGAGUACGACCGCAAGGUUGAAACUCAAAGGAAUUGACGGGGGCCCGCACAAGCGGUGGAGCAUGUGGUUUAAUUCGAAGCAACGCGAAGAACCUUACCAGGUCUUGACAUCCCGAUGCUAUUUCUAGAGAUAGAAAGUUACUUCGGUACAUCGGUGACAGGUGGUGCAUGGUUGUCGUCAGCUCGUGUCGUGAGAUGUUGGGUUAAGUCCCGCAACGAGCGCAACCCCUAUUGUUAGUUGCCAUCAUUCAGUUGGGCACUCUAGCGAGACUGCCGGUAAUAAACCGGAGGAAGGUGGGGAUGACGUCAAAUCAUCAUGCCCCUUAUGACCUGGGCUACACACGUGCUACAAUGGUUGGUACAACGAGUUGCGAGUCGGUGACGGCGAGCUAAUCUCUUAAAGCCAAUCUCAGUUCGGAUUGUAGGCUGCAACUCGCCUACAUGAAGUCGGAAUCGCUAGUAAUCGCGGAUCAGCACGCCGCGGUGAAUACGUUCCCGGGCCUUGUACACACCGCCCGUCACACCACGAGAGUUUGUAACACCCGAAGUCGGUGAGGUAACCUUUUGGAGCCAGCCGCCUAAGGUGGGACAGAUGAUUGGGGUGAA